UUAGCUUUCCUCCCUCUUUCCAGAACUGAAGGAUGAGUGACUGAACUUCCAGUGCAUGGAUCUUCAGAGGACUUACUCAAGCAAUAUCCAGACCAUAGCCUUUCCCCUCCCUGUGCUUAUCUGCUUCUGAAGUUUGCUUUUUCUUUGUCAUAUUCUGUUGUGCAUUUCUCUUAUCUGGGUCAUUUGAUUAGCAAUUGAGUUGAGACCCAGAUACCCACUGCAAUGUUGGAUUUCUCUGGGAUGAUACAGACAGCAGCUGGACUGGGAUGAUGAUGGCUGGGGGCUGCUCAGCACCUCUCUUUCCAGGCAGCCUCUCUAAAGCAGGGGUUUCAGUGGCUGAGGAAUGGUGGUCUUGGUCCUGCUUCAGAAACUGCAUCAAGCUUCCCGCACUGUGCGUGUUCAAAGCAGGAGAGAGCUGCUUGACUGCAACACCACUGGAUUGGACAGCCGAGACCCCCGUGCUACACCCCACACUUCAGUCUCCCCACUCUGGUCUCCUGGAUCUGUGACCCGCUUGCAGCGAGAGUCGGCGGUGCCCACGAGUUGUGCCCUCCGUGAGCCUGACCCUCCCAGGCAAUCUGAACGAGUGCUCAGGACCCCAGAAACCGCUAACCAAUAGGCAGGCAGCCUACUUCCUGGCCCUACACAAGCCUCUUUCCAUAGGAGACCUUUUGAAAGGGGCUCAGGAUGUCCGCAGGGGUUCGGUGGGAGGACUGUAAAGGCUAACUGGUUGCCAUGGGCUUGCAGGACUAGCUGGCAAGUUUGAGAAGGAGCCUUAAAGCCAGGAGCCAGUGCUGGUUGUGAGGAAGCCGGGGGCAGCCCACAUGGCUGUAUCUCUGUGAAUCUCUAGCAGCAUGCUCUUGCUCUCCUCAGCCCCCUAUGGCUCCAGCUCAGGGCACCCAGCACCUGUGUGCCCUCUCAGUAGUCACUUCGCU